rnacentral:misc_RNA from 1 species
GACAUAAUAUAUUCAAAAUUAUGCAUAUGGUUACAAAAGUAACAGAAAAGAAAAAUCAGCUAUAAAAUGUCCAUUAAAUCUAAAAUAAUUUUUGGUGAAUUGCACAUAGUUUAUUUCCUUAUUGCUGGUUUUUGCUAAGAAAAUGCAUGCUUUGGGUUCCUAAAUGCCCUUUGUUCUUCUCUCAUAAGGUACAAAAAGAAAAAACCCCUGAUCUGAAAGUCUGUAGACUGUAGAGGGUAUUAUACCUGUAUAAAGAUUUUU